GCAUUCGUACUCGGGGUCGAUAUAGGGCUGGUAGAUUACCUCCAUCUUCUUCAGUUAUCAACACAUGUACAAUACUGAGAUUGCAGCUGCUUUGUUGCAGCAAGGAGAUAACAUUGCUGGUUUGCUUCACCUGAAUAUCAGUAUAUAUAAACAAGAAACAAAGUAUUUAAAUUGAGACCGUCUCAAAAACCAUUCUAAAUUAAAAGAACCCGUAAAUUCAAGAUAACUUGGGAAAAGGAUAAGAGAGCGGCGUCUAGCUUGGUUCUUAAGUUAGUUGAAAUAUCACCUAUGUAUGAUUGAAUUGGGAUUCCGUGUUGCUUUCUAGUUGUAGAAGGAUAAGAAGAACGAAGAUUUACCUGAUGAUUACCUAAAGAAUAUUCAAUCAAGGAGAAGACUGGGAAUUUGUGAAGAAAAUUUGAUUGUUUUGACCCGGAAAUACAGUGGCAAUUUCAGAUAUAUAAAACAAACUACGUUGAUUCACUCCACAACGGAAAAUAAAAGACCCAACUAUCAGAGUCAAAACGUUUUAACCCAAGACAAGAGUUCAAUUCUCUUGAAGAAUCAAAUUGUUGAUCCAAACAAGAAUGAAAGAGAAUAAAUUGUAGUGAUGAAUCAAAAGUUCAAAACUGAAAGAAAUCUGAAUUAUGAACAAAACCAGAUCAAAAUCUUUUGGAAUUCAUUGACAUUGAUUGAAAUUCUUUGUUGGGAUCGUAUAGAAAGUAACAAAAUCCAGCAGAGACUGACCUGAACACACAGAGAGCCCUUCUGUUGUACACAGAAGCGAAAUUUAACAGAGGAAGAAGCUAGAAGAGAACUUAUUGGAUUGUGGAAAACACAGAGGCGCCCUUAGAAUAAUAGCUUAGCUAGGAUCAGUGAGUCCCAGCUAUAU
rnacentral:lncRNA from 1 species